UAGCUACAGAUCUUCAGUUAGUAUGG
rnacentral:piRNA from 1 species